rnacentral:misc_RNA from 1 species
AAGACUAUAGACCUGCGGAGUACCUGCGGAGGGAUCAUUAUCGAGUUUACAACUCCCAAACCAUUGUGAAUCUUACCUUUUCGUUGCUUCGGCGGGAUCGCCCCGGGCGCUUCGGUGCCCCGGAUUCAGGCGCCCGCCGGGGGACCUAAACUCUUGUAUUAUAGUGGAUUUCUGAGUGGAUUACACAAAUAAUCAAAACUUUUAGCAAUGGAUCUCU